rnacentral:piRNA from 1 species
UAAUUUUAAGAAUGAAUGGCA